UACGAAGGGGGCUAGCGUUGCUCGGAAUCACUGGGCGUAAAGCGCACGUAGGCGGCUUCUUAAGUCAGGGGUGAAAUCCUGGAGCUCAACUCCAGAACUGCCUUUGAUACUGAGAAGCUUGAGUCCGGGAGAGGUGAGUGGAACUGCGAGUGUAGAGGUGAAAUUCGUAGAUAUUCGCAAGAACACCAGUGGCGAAGGCGGCUCACUGGCCCGGUACUGACGCUGAGGUGCGAAGGCUAGGGGAGCGAACGGG
rnacentral:rRNA from 1 species